CGGAGGCGCCCAAAGGUUCCCUCAGAAUGGAUGGAAAUCAUUCGCAGAGUGUAAAGGCAUAAGGGAGCUUGACUGCGAGACUGACAAGGCGAGCAGGGACGAAAGUCGGGCUUAGUGAUCCGGUGGUGCCGCAUGGAAGGGCCAUCGCUCAACGGAUAAAAGCUACCCCGGGGAUAACAGGCUUAUCUCCCCCAAGAGUCCACAUCGACGGGGAGG
rnacentral:rRNA from 1 species